rnacentral:rRNA from 1 species
GACGAACGCUGGCGGCGUGCCUAAUACAUGCAAGUCGAGCGGACCUGUUUUAAAGCUUGCUUUAAAACAGGUUAGCGGCGGACGGGUGAGUAACACGUGGGCAACCUGCCCGUAAGACCGGGAUAACUUACGGAAACGUGAGCUAAUACCGGAUAGGUUUCCUUCCCGCAUGGGAGGGAAAGGAAAGGUGGCGUAAGCUACCACUUACGGAUGGGCCCGCGGCGCAUUAGCUAGUUGGUGGGGUAAUGGCCUACCAAGGCGACGAUGCGUAGCCGACCUGAGAGGGUGAUCGGCCACACUGGGACUGAGACACGGCCCAGACUCCUACGGGUGGCAG